CCCUUAGAUGUUCUGGGCCGCACGCGCGCUGCACUGAUGCAUUCAACGAGUCUAAAACCUGCUCUGAUAGGGGUGGGUAAUCUUUUGAAUGUGCAUCGUGAUUGGGAUAGAUGAUUGCAAUUUUUCAUCUUCAACGAGGAAUGCCUAGUAAACGCAAGUCAUCAGCUUGCAUUGAUUACGUCCCUGCCCUUUGUACACACCGCCCGUCGCUCCUACCGAUUGAAUGAUCCGAUGAAUAUCAUGGAUUGAGGAUGCAAGUAGGUUCGCCUAUCUUCAUCUUCGAGAAGUGAAGUAAAUCUUAUCAUUUAGAGGAAGGAGAAGUCGUAACA
rnacentral:rRNA from 1 species